AUGAACCCUGUGUACACUGUUCAGUAACAGCGAUACUGUGCUGCACUUCCAGUUUUGGGACCUAGAAUUAUGUGUUGACUGCAAUGGCUGCGUCCACCGAGUCAUUUUACCUGGGGUUUGAUUUCAGCACUCAACAACUGAAGGUGGUUGCUGUUGAUGGGAACCUCAGUGUUGUCCACCAGGACAAUGUGCAGUUUGACAGUGAAUUGCCAGAAUUCGGGACUCAGGGAGGGGUCCAUAUCCAUGCAGACAGUCUGACUGUCACUUCUCCUGUGCUCAUGUGGGUAAAGGCACUUGACCUGAUCCUUGGCAAGAUGAAGAAUGCAGGAUUUGACUUCUCGCGUGUGAAAGCCCUAUCUGGGAGUGGCCAGCAACAUGGCAGUGUGUAUUGGAGGAAAGGGACCAACCAAGUUCUCAGGGAUCUCCAGCCAGGAAAAAGUUUGCAUGAACUUCUGAAGGGUGGUUUUGCAGUGUCAGAUAGUCCAGUGUGGAUGGACUCCAGCACUACAGAGCAGUGUCAGUACCUGGAGACAGCAGUAGGUGGUGCUCAGAGAGUUGCAGACAUCACAGGCUCCCGGGCCUAUGAGCGUUUCACUGGAAAUCAGAUUGCCAAGAUUUACAAGGCCCAACCAGAGAAGUACGAGGACACAGAGAGAAUCUCAUUGGUCAGCAGCUUUGCUGCCUCUCUCUUCCUGGGCAGCUAUGCAGCUAUUGAUUACAGUGACGGUUCAGGGAUGAAUUUGAUGGACAUUUUCAGCAAACAGUGGGCAGACUCCUGUCUUGAGGCUACUGCUCCUCACCUGGAGGAGAGGCUGGGAGCCCCUGUGCAUUCUUCAGCUGUCUUGGGCCUCCUCUCUCCUUACCAUGUCACUCGUUAUGGCUUCCCAGAGGACUGCAAGGUGGUGGCAUUCACUGGGGAUAACCCAGGGUCCCUGGCUGGGAUGAGGUUACAGGAAGGAGACAUAGCCGUGAGUCUUGGCACUAGCGACACAGUCUUCCUGUGGAUCAAAGAGCCGAGGCCCACAGUGGAAGGACACAUCUUCUGCAACCCAGUGGACCGCCCCUCCUAUAUGGCUUUGAUAUGCUAUAAGAAUGGCUCCCUGACCAGAGAGAGGAUCAGAAACAAGUGUGCUGGAGGGUCAUGGGAAGUCUUCUCCUCGGUCCUGAGGACUACACCAACAGGGAACAACGGGAACAUAGGGAUUUACUUUGAUGCCAUGGAAAUCACACCGUCUGCAGUCGGAGUUCACAGAUUUGACAAAGAAAAUACGAAGGUAGCCGGCUUCUCCGCCCAGGGGGAAAUCCGAGCCCUGGUUGAGGGACAGUUCCUGGCAAAGAGGGUCCACGCCGAAAAGCUUGGUUAUAAGAUCAUUCCAGGAACUCGAGUGCUGGCCACCGGAGGGGCUUCUUCUAACAAGGACAUUCUGCAGGUGCUAUCUGACGUGUUUGAUGCUCCCGUGUACACCAUUGACGUGGCCAACUCUGCCUGUCUAGGCUGUGGCUACAGGGCCCUGCAAGGUGACUACCUCAUGAAGCUGGUUGAGAGAAUGCCAAGAGUGUGCAAAGCUGUCAAGGCAAAGCAAAGCACCCCACAACAUGAUGCUGCCACCCCCGUGCUUCACAGUUGGGAUGGUGUUCUUCGGCUUGACUUGUUGCUGAAUCAGGAGUGUCCUUCGCUGAGGCGGUGAGAAAAGCCCCAGAAGCCCAGCUAGCAGUGACCCCAACACCUGGAGCUGACAAGGUGUUCGCUCCCCUGUUGAGGCGUUACGCUGAGCUGGAGGAGAGUGUGCUCCAGGAAUCAAAGCAGUGACUGAACACUGGCAAUUAUUUCAAUCAGCACAUUUCUCCAUGGUCUGAUGAGCAAAUAAGAAGGACUUGCAAACCUGUGCCUUAUACACGUAAUUCCAACCUCUUGAGUUUGACUUUGUAAAACACCUGAAAUAUUAAUUUUUUACAGGUACUUUUUCAUGACUGUAUCUGCAAGUGACACGACCCUCUUCAAUUUGUUUAGUUGUGAUGACACUAAGAAUACCUCAUUUUCUUUGCAUUCUUCACUUCUUCUGUCUAAUUGUGUAUUCAGCAACCAAUCUCUGUUGUCAUGCCAUGAUCAUUUCAAUGGGCAUUUAUAGUCAAACAAGUAUUUUUGGAAGUAUGAAAGUUCCAUAAGGGAAUUGUCUUCUCACUCAGAAAUUAACUGAAUAAUUUUGUUCUCAUGGGAAUUCUGAAAGAUCUACAGUAUUAUGAGUAUUCUGAAUCUUCAGUGAUCUACUGUGCUGAUGCCCUCGAAUUUCUUCAAACAAUAAAAUCUAUUGAACUUUU